rnacentral:rRNA from 1 species
UACGUAGGGGGCAAGCGUUUGUCCGGAUUUAUUGGGCGUAAAGAGCGUGUAGGCGGCUAUACAGGUCCGCUGUGAAAACUCGAGGCUCAACCUCGAGACGUCGGUGGAAACCGUAUGGCUAGAGUCCGGAAGAGGAGAGUGGAAUUCCUGGUGUAGCGGUGAAAUGCGCAGAUAUCAGGAAGAACACCCGUGGCGAAGGCGGCUCACUGGCCCGGUACUGACGCUGAGGUGCGAAAGCGUGGGGAGCAAACAGG